rnacentral:rRNA from 1 species
CUACGGGGUGCAGCAGUGAGGAAUUUUGCGCAAUGGGGGAAACCCUGACGCAGCAACGCCGCGUGAGCGAAGAAGGCCCUCGGGUCGUAAAGCUCUGUCAAGUGGGAAAAAAGCCUUUUGAUCAAUACCCAAAAGGUUUGAUGGUACCACUGGAGGAAGCACCGGCUAACUCCGUGCCAGCAGCCGCGGUAAUACGGAGGGUGCAAGCGUUGUUCGGAAUUACUGGGCGUAAGGGCGUGCAGGCGGUUUGGCAAGUCAGAUGUGAAAGCCCUGGGCUUAACCCGGGAAGUGCAUUUGAAACUGCCUUUCUUGAGUAUGGGAGAGGAGAGUGGAAUUCCCAGUGUAGAGGUGAAAUUCGUAGAUAUUGGGAGGAACACCCGUGGCGAAGGCGACUCUCUGGACCAAUACUGACGCUGAGACGCGAAAGCGUGGGGAGCAAACAGGAUUAGAUACCCUGGUAGUC